UGUAUACAUGGAGUGCUGCUUAGUGCUCUUAGAUAGGGUAUGAGAUUUUGCAUAACCCUUGUUCUUUUCAACAAAGGCUGGCCAACAGACAAUCAAUUUUUUUCCAUGGAUGUAAUAUGCAAGUACUGGACAUAACUUGAAAACUAACAAAAGGCUGUCCUAAGCUCCAACACCUGCUUAAAAUGAAGCCAUUUAUCUCAAUUUUCCAUGGCAAAGCCCAUGAAUAUGGACACAAAGCUUGUGCCAAGGCUCAUCGCAAGAUCAGAAAGGAGAAAACAUCUUAGCAUUAGCUUUAGAAGAUGUUGGUUACUUGAAGACUGAUACGGACACAGAAGUUCUGUCUUUGGAAGAGAUCCUGUCCGGUGACACAACAUUGCCAUGGCAGCAAUCACACAGUGACUCUGUCAGUCAUCACACAAAAACAAGGGCAAUCGAUGACAUCAUGAUAGUAAA